UAGCCUAGUGGUUAAGGCUUUGGAUCGCUAAUCCGGAGACGGCGGGUUCGAUUCCCGU
rfam:Aedes albopictus isolate Foshan contig96844, whole genome shotgun sequence.